rnacentral:lncRNA from 1 species
GUUGAGGGUUUGGCUGCCAGGAGGUGAAUUGUAGAUGGAAUCUUUCAUUCUGGUUUCAGUUUCUGGAAGUAGCUAUUGAGCUCAAGGCAAAUCAUAUAUUUAAAGAUAUAUACAUGAUUUAAGGAUAAUCUGGCAUUUAUCUCUGCUCUCUUUUUGAAGACUUCAUUAUCAUGGUUGCCUGACCCAACACAACAUAUUUGGAGGAGGAGAGGGGACACUUUUAUUGUACCCCAUCACGUGGCUGAGUCAUUUGGCUCUCCAUUCACUGGAACAGACGACUAUGGACAACACCAUUGGGUUUCCCACCAAGGACAGAGUUCCAAAGCAACAGUGGCUUCCAUGGUUGGCUCACCCAGCCUGCCUGAGUCAUUAGCUAGGUCCACAGAGUAGAGAAGUAAUCCCUCCCCGGAAAGAGAAGAUCACAGAUUUUGUCGUAUUAAAUACAUUGUAGAAAUUCAUGGUAGCAGGGGCAAGAUCAUUUAAACAAAACAGAAAGUUUCAGAGAGAGAAAAAGCCAAAGACAAAGAUUAAUCAUUUUUCUGCUUAAAAAAAAAGGCUUUGAUUUGCAACCAUGGAAUGCUCCACUGUUUCUCUUCUCUUCAAAGACAUCUACUGAAAGGAUUCCUUAACCUUACCAAGUGGCCAAAAUACUUUUCUGAGAAGAGUCACAGAGCAUAGGCCCCCCUGGGGUACACAGAGAUUUCAUUAGUCCCUAGAUGUUUCCUGAUCCUUUUAAAAACUGGUUAAAUUCAGAGACUCUAGGCAAUUACUUCUUUCAGAACCUGUGAGGCAAAAACGAAAGAAGAAGGCAGGACACGCAGUGUAACAAACCUUGGAAUGGCCGAGUUAGUGUUCACCUUCACUGAGAUCCUAAGGAGCUGUUUGCAUUCCUCUAUCUCAUCGUAUCAUCAUUGUCUAAGUGUCCGUCCCUCUGCUGUGGCCUCUUUGGGAGCAGGACUUCGCCAGACUUCAUCAGAAGAAAGCAGUGCGAGAGGGGACUGCAGAGGAAAGCUGGGGCUUGGGAAACCAGCAGCAGGGGCCACGUGGGCAGGUGGUUUCUGUGUGAACCUCUGAUCUGUGCAACAUAAACAGGAAAUGUUGAAGGCUUCCAGUGCUCUUUUUUGAUGUCGAGAACAUU